UUGAAUUGGUUCAUUUGAAAGUAGACAUUUCACUCUAUAGAUAUAUUUUUAAUGUCUGUAAGGAAAGUUUACACAGAGUUUCGUGCUCGAGUUCACAGAGACCGAGAUGGCAGAAAGUGCAUCCUGUUUGCUUUCAUUAUUUUACAAAAGCGCAAUGUUUUCUUGUUAUUGUGAGUGCACACAAAUAAACAUAGAGUUUUUACAGAUUUGAAAGAUGUAUUACUCUCAUCUGUAUGAGUAAAGAUGAGGGAGUAUUUUAAGUGCACCGGCGCCUCCAUCUGUCCUGCAGUGAUCUACUGUUCAGCUCCACUCUCCUCCAGACACUGAACAGCGCACACUUCUCAGGUUAACGUUAGAUUGAGCAGCCAUGUGAAGUUGCUGCUACUUACAUAUUUGUGGUGGAUGAAUGAUAGGCGAGCGUUUGGAUGUCCUGCCUGAUGUACUGUACUAGCACCGAUCUGCGUGACUUUUUAUUUAUUUAUUUCUGCGACUAAGCGGUUAAUACAAUUUUGGUUGACCAAGCCUCUUCUGGUCGACUAACGGUUAGCAGACUAUUAGGGGGCAGCCGUAAUGUUUAUAUAGAAAUAAUGAAGAUUUCUGUGUCACCCCAGACUGGUUGCUGGCCACCUCUAUGAAAUCAUCCUGGCUCUGACACUGCGUUCGCUCAGAAUUCAGAAAGCUCUACAAAAGGGCUGACACCUGUUAUAGUGCUCCAGAUAGGGAGCGGUUUCAGACACAGCUUCAGUCCGCAGCUUUGACUGAGUGUGUGUGCGUGUGUGUGUGUGUGUUUCAGGACAGUGAGGUCAGUGUGACGGUUCCUCCUGAAGAAAGAACAGAACCUGAACUACAGGAUUUGGCCCUGUCCAGGGAUCACAGUCCAGAGGCGUCUUCAGAGGACUCGUUGUGUGGACGUCACCUCCGUUCCACAGCAGCUUCACGACCUCUGACCCCCGAUGCUGCGGUGUCCAGCAGCCGAGAGGAAGACGAGCAGAUGAAUGAAAUAGGGCAGGAGGAGAAACAGUCAGAUGAAGAGGAGAAUGGACAGAUCAGAAAUGAAGAGACCGAGAACGAUGAGGAGAUCGAAGAGCAGAUGGAGAGAUCCAGCAGUCCUGAGGAGAAACAGGAGGAGCGGACGGAGGAGAGAACUGAAGAAGAGAGUAAAGAUGAAGAAAACAGAGAAGAUGAGAAAGGACAGAACAGAGAGAGCGAGGAGGACGAUGAACAGAUCGAGAGAUUCAACAGUCCUGAGGAGAGGAACCAGACGGAAGAGAAAAAAGAAGAAGAGAGAGAUCAGACUGAGAGUAAAGAUGAAGAAGAGACAGAGAACCAAAAACACAGACAAGAAGAAACUGAUAAAGUUGAUGAACAGAUUGAGAGAUUCAACAGUCCUGAAGAGAGAGAGAAGACAACAGAAGAAGAAAAAAAGAAAGGAAACAUAGAAGAGAACAGACAGAUCAGAGAUGAAGAGAUGCAGAACACAGAGAGUGAGGAGAUUGAGGAACAGAUCGAGAGAUUCAAGAGUCCUGAGGAGGAGGAGAAGAACACGACGGAGGAGAGAACAGAAGGAGGAGAUCCGACAGAGAGCAGAGAUGAAGGAAACAUGGAAGAAGAGAUGAUUGAAAGAAAAGAACAGGCUGAAACACACAGAAACACACAGAGGCUUUCAGAGCAUCAGGAGAGUGAGGCAGAGGAGGAUAAACAUGAGGAAGAGCAGAGAGAGACUGAAGGACUCGUCUCGGAGGCUCAGAGCGACGCCUUUCAGAGUAACAGCUCUCGCCUUCAAGUAACUCGUGUUAAAGCAGGGAAGUUUGUGCCUCAGUGGAAUCCAGUGUCCAGUGAGGAGUCUGAGGACAGUGAAGCAGCAGCGUCGCUCUCAUCUGCUCAUAAUGUGCAGGCUGGUUUCCACUCCAGACUCUCAGAGAAUGUGUUUGAUCUGCUGGAUCUGUCACCUGCAGUGGACAGGAAGGAAGUCGAGGGCGAGGCAGAUAUGGACAGCUGUGUGGAUGUCUCUGACUCUGCAGACAGGCAUGUGUUGCGUGAUGAAGAAGAGAAGAAGAGACAAUUAGAGAGAGAGGAAGAGGAGAAGAAGAGACAAGAAAGGGAGGAAGAGGAGAAGAGAAAGUGUGAGGAAGAGGAGAAGAGACACGUAGAGAGAGAGGAAGAGGAGAAGAAGAGACGAUUAGAGCGAGAGGAAGAGGAGAAGCGUAAGCGUGAUGAAGAGGAGAAGAGACGAUUAGAGAGAGAGGAAGAGGAGAAGAGACAAUUAGAGAGAGAGGAAGAGGAGAAGAAGAGACAAGAGAGGGAGGAAGAGGAGAAGAAGAGACGAUUAGAGCGAGAGGAAGAGGAGAAGCGUAAGCGUGAUGAAGAGGAGAAGAGACAAUUAGAGAGGGAGGAAGAGGAGAAGAGAAAAUGUGAGGAAGAGGAGAAAAAGAGACAAGAAGAGAGGGAGGAAGAGGAGAAGAGAAAGCGUGAGGAAGAGAAGAGGAAGAGACAAGUAGAGAGAGAGGAGAGGAAGAGGCUGGAGGACGCAGAGAGACAGAUGGAGGAGGAGAGGAGCAGACUGAUGGAGGACACACAGAGGAGACUGCAGCUGCUCAGAGACGCUCUGAUGAAGGACGAGGAGCGCCGGAUGAAGGAGGAGAGCGCUGAGCAGCUCAGAGUCCUGAAGGAGCAGAUGCUCAAACAGAGACGAGACGAGGAGGAGAGACUGAACAACGACAUGCACACACAACUACAACAGCUCAGGCUUGAGAAUGAGGUGAAGCUGCAGAAGCUGUGCUCAGAGCUGGAGGCGGAGCAGGAGAGGGCGGAGACUCAGAGGAGGCGGGACCUCGAGCGCCUGAGGGAGGAGUCAGAGGAGGAGCUCCGGGCAGAGAGGAGGCGGCUACAAGAGAAGAAGGAGGAGCAGCUGACCUCCAUCAGACUACAGGUGUGUGUGUAUGUGUGUGUGUGUGUGUGUGUGUGUGUGAGAGAGUGAGCUGUAAGUGUGUAUAUAACGUCGGUUUCACACUGCAAGCGUGAGCAGUGCGUAUUUCUGUCGGCGUGCAUGUUAAUCAGUUAAUAAGAGUGCAUUCACACCGGCAGCAGCAGCAGCGCGUGAGCAGCAGUGCCAGGUCUAUAUUUGCUGUGCUGCUGACGCUUAAUUAAAGUGACAGCACACUUUUGAUGAGCAAAAUAAACAUGAUUUCACACAAAACCUGCUAAAAUGC
ensembl:lncRNA